ACAUAUGCAAGAGACUAUGCGGAGGCCGUGGAGCUGGAGUAAUUCAGCAGAGGCAUAGCUCUCAGAUGGCUGAUGCAAUAAGUGAAGCACAAGAGAAGUACAGAAGACAGACCGCAGAUGAUGGGAUGAGAUGAUCAAAAAUUUGAAACAACCAGUCAUAUUUGGAAUUAUUCAAUGAUUCAAUCAUUUAAUGAUGAACAAUCUGAAACUUGGUAUGCGUGUUAGCCAAUGAAGAGACAGAGCAGGAAAAUAAGGUUUUACCUCCUCCUACUGGAACUAAAGAGAAUAUCACUUGCAACACAAGCAGAAAUGGAAAUAUCAACAAUUCUUUGUCCUUUGAAUAUUUAUUAGAUCUCUCCUGUGAAACUGUCAAAUCUGAUACUUAUUUUGUAAAGCACUAAAUAGCUUACUAAGUUUCUUUAAAGGCUACAAUAUUAUUUAAUUGCUGAAUAAAUUAUUAAAUUUCUUAAUGUGGCA
rnacentral:lncRNA from 12 species